rnacentral:tRNA from 1 species
GCGGGUGUAACUCAGUGGUAGAGUGCGUGCUUCCCAAGCACGGAGCCGUGGGUUCGAAUCCCAUCACCCGCUCCA